rnacentral:rRNA from 1 species
UACGUAGGGGGCAAGCGUUGUCCGGAAUCAUUGGGCGUAAAGAGCGUGUAGGCGGCUCGAUAAGUCUGCUGUGAAAACCCGAGGCUCAACCUCGGGCCUGCAGUGGGUACGGGCAGACUAGAGUGUGGUAGGGGAGACUGGAAUUCCUGGUGUAGCGGUGGAAUGCGCAGAUAUCAGGAGGAACACCAAUGGCGAAGGCAGGUCUCUGGGCCACAACUGACGCUGAGGAGCGAAAGCGUGGGGAGCGAACAGG